AUUGAACGCUGGCGGCAUGCCUUACACAUGCAAGUCGAACGGCAGCACGGGGCAACCUGGUGGCGAGUGGCGAACGGGUGAGUAAUGCAUCGGAACGUGCCAUUGAGUGGGGGAUAACGUAGCGAAAGUUGCGCUAAUACCGCAUAUUCUGUGAGCAGGAAAGCAGGGGACCGCAAGGCCUUGCGCUCUUUGAGCGGCCGAUGUCAGAUUAGCUAGUUGGUGAGGUAACGGGCUUACCAAGGCGACGAUCUGUAGCGGGUCUGAGAGGAUGAUCCGCCACACUGGAACUGAGACACGGUCCAGACUCCUACGGGAGGCAGCAGUGGGGAAUUUUGGACAAUGGCGCAAGCCUGAUCCAGCCAUGCCGCGUGAGUGAAGAAGGCCUCGGGUUGUAAAG
rnacentral:rRNA from 1 species